GAUGAACGCUGGCGGCGUGCCUAAUACAUGCAAGUCGAGCGAACAGACGAGGAGCUUGCUCCUCUGACGUUAGCGGCGGACGGGUGAGUAACACGUGGAUAACCUACCUAUAAGACUGGGAUAACUUCGGGAAACCGGAGCUAAUACCGGAUAAUAUAUUGAACCGCUUGGUUCAAUAGUGAAAGACGGUUUUGCUGUCACUUAUAGAUGGAUCCGCGCCGCAUUAGCUAGUUGGUAAGGUAACGGCUUACCAAGGCAACGAUGCGUAGCCGACCUGAGAGGGUGAUCGGCCACACUGGAACUGAGACGCGGUCCAGACUCCUACGGGAGGCAGCAGUAGGGAAUCUUCCGCAAUGGGCGAAAGCCUGACGGAGCAACGCCGCGUGAGUGAUGAAGGUCUUCGGAUCGUAAAACUCUGUUAUUAGGGAAGAACAAAUGUGUAAGUAACUAUGCACGUCUUGACGGUACCUAAUCAGAAAGCCACGGCUAACUACGUG
rnacentral:rRNA from 1 species